rnacentral:tRNA from 1 species
GGAAUAGUUAUCAUUGGAAAGUUAUGACAAUUGCUAAUUGUUUGGGGCAACUCUUGGGUGUUCGACUCACCUCUAUUCCA